rnacentral:sRNA from 1 species
GAAAUGGCCAAAGAAGCUAAACGACUAAAAGAAUUCUUAGAAGACUAUGAUGAUGAUAGAGAUGACCCCAAAUAUUACAGAGGAAGUGCUCUUCAGAAAAGGUUGCGUGAUAGAGAAAAGGAAAUGGAAGCAGAUGAACGAGAUAGGAAGAGAGAGAAGGAGGAGCUUGAGGAAAUCAGGCAGCGCCUUCUGGCAGAAGGCCAUCCAGAUCCAGAUGCAGAGCUUCAGAGGAUGGAACAAGAGGCUGAGAGGCGCAGGCAGCCACAAAUAAAGCAAGAGCCAGAAUCAGAAGAGGAGGAAGAAGAAAAGCAAGAAAAAGAAGAAAAACGAGAAGAACCCAUGGAAGAGGAAGAGGAGCCAGAGCAAAAGCCUUGUCUGAAACCUACUCUGAGGCCCAUCAGCUCUGCUCCAUCUGUUUCCUCUGCCAGUGGCAAUGCAACACCUAACACUCCUGGGGAUGAGUCUCCCUGUGGUAUUAUUAUUCCUCAUGAAAACUCACCAGAUCAACAGCAACCUGAGGAGCAUAGGCCAAAAAUAGGACUAAGUCUUAAACUGGUUUUACUAGUGCUCCUAUAUCUGCAGCUGCCUCGAGUUCUGAGAAGAAGUGAAAAGUUUAAUUUUCUAGCACUUGUGCUUCCAAUAGUCCUGGUCAGCCUAAUUCUGUGAAGAGAAAGAAACUACCUGUAGAUAGUGUCUUUAACAAAUUUGAGGAUGAAGACAGUGAUGACGUACCCCGAAAAAGGAAACUGGUUCCCUUGGAUUAUGGUGAAGAUGAUAAAAAUGCAGCCAAAGGCACUGUAAACACUGAAGAAAAGCGUAAACACAUUAAGAGUCUCAUUGAGAAAAUCCCUACAGCCAAACCUGAGCUCUUCGCUUAUCCCCUGGAUUGGUCUAUUGUGGAUUCUAUACUGAUGGAACGUCGAAUUAGACCAUGGAUUAAUAAGAAAAUCAUAGAAUAUAUAGGUGAAGAAGAAGCUACAUUAGUUGAUUUUGUUUGUUCUAAGGUUAUGGCUCAUAGUUCACCCCAGAGCAUUUUAGAUGAUGUUGCCAUG